CGGGUGAGUAACACGUGACUAACCUACCCUCGAGUGGGGGAUAACUCCGGGAAACCGGGGCUAAUACCGCAUAACAUCGCGAGGUGAAAUUCCUUGUGAUCAAAGGAGCAAUUCGUUUGAGGAGGGGGUCGCGGCUGAUUAGCUAGUUGGCAGGGUAAUGGCCUACCAAGGCGAUGAUCAGUAGCCGGCCUGAGAGGGCGCACGGCCACACUGGAACUGAAACACGGUCCAGACUCCUACGGGAGGCAGCAGUGGGGAAUUUUGCGCAAUGGGGGAAACCCUGACGCAGCAACGCCGCGUGGAGGAUGAAGUCCUUUGGGAUGUAAACUCCUUUCGAUCGGGACGAUUAUGACGGUACCGGAUGAAGAAGCACCGGCUAACUCUGUGCCAGCAGCCGCGGUAAUACAGAGGGUGCGAGCGUUGUUCGGAAUUAUUGGGCGUAAAGGGCGCGUAGGCGGUGCGGUAAGUCUCCUGUGAAAUCUCCGGGCUCAACUCGGAGCGGUCAGGGGAAACUGCCGUGCUGGAGUGUGGGAGAGGUGCGUGGAAUUCCCGGUGUAGCGGUGAAAUGCGUAGAUAUCGGGAGGAAC
rnacentral:rRNA from 1 species